UGAGUAACCUGCCCUUCACAUCGGAAUAACCAUUGGAAACGACGUCUAAUGCCGAAUACGACCUCCUUUCGCAUGAUCGGAGGUGGAAAGCUCCGGCGGAGAAGGAUGAGCUCGCGGCCUAUCAGCUAGUUGGUGUGGUAAUGGCCCACCAAGGCGACGACGGGUAGCCGGCCUGAGAGGGUCGACCGGCCACACUGGGACUGAGACACGGCCCAGACUCCGUACGGGAGCAGCAGG
rnacentral:rRNA from 1 species